UACGAAGGGGGCUAGCGUUGUUCGGAAUCACUGGGCGUAAAGCGCACGCAGGCGGAUCGUUAAGUCAGGGGUGAAAUCCCGAGGCUCAACCUCGGAACUGCCUUUGAUACUGGCGAUCUUUGAGUCCGGGAGAGGUGAGUGGAACUCCGAGUGUAGAGGUGAAAUUCGUAGAUAUUCGGAGGAACACCAGUGGCGAAGGCGGCUCACUGGUCCAUUACUGACGCUGAGGUGCGAAAGCGUGGGGAGCAAACAGG
rnacentral:rRNA from 1 species